AUGGAGGCGGAAGAAGCAGACCUCCCCCCUUGCCCUCCUGGUCUGAGUAGAGAAAGACACACGCACACACAAACACACACACACACACCCCUCGCUCGCCUCCGGGAAGAAGCAGACCUCCCCCCUUGCCCUCCCGGUCUGAGUAGAGAAAGACACACACACACCCCUGGCUCGCCUCCCUUCUGGCCUCCUCGGCAGCCACCACGGAGCUGCUGCUGCUGCUGCUGCUCCUUCCACCAUGUGAUCCCGUCCAGGCCACGUGAGAUGCUACAAAAUCCAGGCCAGCAUCCCUGGAAACCAGAUCCAGGAGGGAUCACACCACAGCGGGCGGGCAGGCAGGCUGCGGGCAGGCGGCAGCUCCACCUUCCGCUGCCCCUUGGAACUCCUGGCCGAGAGGCUCCCCUCCCUCUUCCCUUGAGGAGAACCUCUGCGGGUUGGGCUGCCCGGCUGGGCCUGUGGAGGCUGCCUGUCCUAAAGCAUGCGCGCGCACACACACACACAGAGGCGUUAGCCCUUGCCUCAGUUCCCAGGAACAAAGGCCCCUUGACAGAGGCCACUUCCUCGCUCCUUGAAAAAGGCAAGACGGGGGGGGGGGCGCCUUGGAAAGGUUGGCCUCCGACAGCCCCAAGGAUCCUGCAUCACGCAGCCCUUGCCAAACCCAGUACUUCUGCCGCCAUCCGUCCUGGGUCUUCCUGGCAGCAGGGGCCAAGCUGGCUCCAGGAGAAAACCAGCAGCAGCUUCUCAGCACCAGGGUCCUCACCCAGCGGGCGAGGGGAGGUCGGGCGGGUCUGCGCGCGCACCAGCCGGCAGCUCUUCCGAGCAGCUCUUCCGGGCCCGGGAAGGGCCUCGUCUUGGGGCUUCUGCAGGGGGCCGGGAAAGCCUUCGGUGUGCACAAGGGCAGGAGAGAGGGCAGCAGGGCGCUCCCGAAUCUGGACUGGUUUGACGGGAAAGCAGAAUCCUCUGGCAGGACGGCAGCGGGGGGGGGGUUUGCCCACCUCCUUCGGGGCAUAG
rnacentral:lncRNA from 1 species